rnacentral:siRNA from 1 species
UCAGUGGUGCUAGUUACUACAC